rnacentral:rRNA from 1 species
AGACAGCAGUAGCCGCGGUAAUACAGAGGGUGCGAGCGUUAAUCGGAUUUACUGGGCGUAAAGCGUGCGUAGGUGGCUUCUUAAGUCGGAUGUGAAAUCCCUGAGCUUAACUUAGGAAUUGCAUUCGAUACUGGGAAGCUAGAGUAUGGGAGAGGAUGGUAGAAUUCCAGGUGUAGCGGUGAAAUGCGUAGAGAUCUGGAGGAAUACCGAUGGCGAAGGCAGCCAUCUGGCCUAAUACUGACGCUGAGGUACGAAAGCAUGGGGAGCAAACAGGAUUAGAUACCCGCGUAGUCCCUGUCUCUUAUAC